UACGAAGGGGGCUAGCGUUGCUCGGAAUCACUGGGCGUAAAGCGCACGUAGGCGGAUUGUUAAGUCGGGGGUGAAAUCCUGGAGCUCAACUCCAGAACUGCCUUCGAUACUGGCGAUCUUGAGUCCGGGAGAGGUGAGUGGAACUCCGAGUGUAGAGGUGAAAUGCGCAGAUAUCGGGAGGAACACCGGUGGCGAAGGCGGUUCUCUGGGCCUGACCUGACGCUGAGGAGCGAAAGCGUGGGGAGCGAACAGG
rnacentral:rRNA from 1 species